CCCGCCGGCGACCGGCGCACGGGUGAGUAACACGUAUGAAACCUGCCCGUAGCAGGGGGAUAAGCGGAGGAAAUUCCGUCUAAUACCGCGUAACAACCCAUGGAGGCAUCUCUGUGGGUUUAAAGGAAGCGAUUCCGGCUACGGAUGGUCAUGCGUCGCAUUAGCUUGUUGGCGGGGUAACGGCCCACCAAGGCGACGAUGCGUAGGGGUUCUGCGAGGAAGGUCCCCCACACUGGUACUGAGACACGGACCAGACUCCUACGGGAGGCAGCAG
rnacentral:rRNA from 1 species